AACCNAGGGCAAGGACGUACCUUAACAGGUCCAGACAGAGGAAGGAAUGACAGAUUGAUAGCUCUUUCAUGAUUCUUUGGGUGGUGGUGCAUGGCCGUUCUUAGUUGGUGGAGUGAUUUGUCUGGUUAAUUCCCGUAAACGAACCGAGACCUUAACCUGCUAAAUAGGGUACGGGAAUAGGCUUCGGCUGUCCCGUGAUCGCCUUCUUAGAGGGACUUUGCGGUUAUAAAUCGCAAGGAAGUUUAUAGGCAAUAACAGGUCUGUGAUGCCCUUAGAUGUCCUGGGCUGCACGCGCGCUACACUGAUGCGUUCAUCGAGUUUAUCCUUGGCCGAGAGGCCUGGGUAAUCUUUAGUACGCAUCGUGAUGGGGAUCGAUUAUUGCAAUUAUUAAUCGUGAACGAGGAAUGCCUAGUAUGCGCAAGUCAUCAGCUUGUGCAGAUUACGUCCCUGCCCUUUGGUAACAACGCGGCCGUCGAUCCUACGGAUCGAGUGAAUCGGGUGAAUCUGAUUCGGGACCGUGGAUUGUUACCCCGGUACGGGGGAAUACGUCCAGACGGGGAAAAGGUUAUAGGGUGAAACCCUCAUAUUCACACAUUUAACAAGGGAACAGAGGGACACAAACGUCUCCGUGUAAGAGCCNCGA
rnacentral:rRNA from 1 species